rnacentral:rRNA from 1 species
AUUGAACGCUAGCGGGAUGCUUUACACAUGCAAGUCGAACGAGUGGCGGACGGGUGCGUAAUAUAUCGGAACGUGCCCAGUAUCGGGGGAUAACUACUCGAAAGAGUGGCUAAUACCGCAUCCGAUUGGAGCGGCCGUUAUUGGAUUAGCUAGUUGGUGGGGUAAAGGCUCACCAAGGCAACGAUCCGUAGCUGGGUUGAGAGGACGACCAGCCACACUGGGACUGAGACACGGCCCAGACUCCUACGGGAGGCAGCAGUGGGGAAUUUUGGACAAUGGGGGAAACCCUGAUCCAGCCAUCCCGCGUGUAUGAGAAGGCCUUCGGGUUGUAAAGUACUUUUGGCAGAGAAGCGGUAUCUGCAGAAUAAGCACCGGCUAACUACGUGCCAGCAGCCGCGGUAAUUC